GAUGAACGCUAGCGGGAGGCCUAAUACAUGCAAGUCGAGCGGUAGAGUGACUUCGGUUGCUUGAGAGCGGCGAACGGGUGAGUAACGCGUACACAAUCUACCUUUAAGAGGGGAAUAGCCCUGGGAAACUGGGAUUAAUGCCCCAUGGCAUCACGAGACGGCAUCGUUUUGUGAUUAAAGCUGAGGUGCUUAGAGAUGAGUGUGCGUCUGAUUAGCUAGUUGGUGCGGUAACGGCGCACCAAGGCGACGAUCAGUAGGGGGCGUGAGAGCGUGGACCCCCACACGGGUACUGAGACACGGACCCGACUCCUACGGGAGGCAGCAGUAAGGAAUAUUGGUCAAUGGAGGAAACUCUGAACCAGCCAUCCCGCGUGCAGGAAGAAUGCCCUAUGGGUUGUAAACUGCUUUUAUCUGGGAAGAAAAGUCGGGAUUUAUCCUGAUCUGACGGUACCAGAGGAAUAAGCACCGGCUAACUCCGUGCCAGCAGCCGCGGUAAAGUAUCG
rnacentral:rRNA from 1 species